rnacentral:rRNA from 1 species
GAAUAAGCCCCAGAAUGGUGAAUCUGCGAAUGGCUCAUUAAAUCAGUUAUUGUUUAUUUGAUGGUACCUUACUACAUGGAUAUCCGUAGUAAUUCUAGAGUUAAUACAUGCGACCAUCCCCGACUUCGGAAGGGGUGCAUUUAUUAGUUUCAAACCAUCGGCGUUCGCGUCUUUGAUGGUGAGUCAUAAUAACUGAGCGAAUCGAAUGGCCUUGUGCCGUCGAUGCUUCAUUCAAAUUUCUGCCCUAUCAGCUUUCGAUGGUAGGAUCUUGGCCUACCAUGGCUAUAACGGGUAACGGGGAAUUAGGGUUCGAUUCCGGAGAGGGAGCUUGAGAAACGGCUACCACAUCCAAGGAUGGCAGCAGGCGCGCAAAUUACCCAAUCCCGAUACGGGGAGGUAGUGACAAUAAAUAGCAAUGCUAGACUAAUUUUAGUCCGGCAAUUGGAAUGAGAGCAAUUUAAACCCAUCAUCGAGGAGCCAUUGGAGGGCAAGUCUGGUGCCAGCAGCCGCGGUAAUUCCAGCUCCAAUAGCGUAUAUUAAAGUUGUUGCAGUUAAAAAGCUCGUAGUCUGACCGUUGAUCGGUGAUGAGCGUCCGUGGCUACUGGUCAUGUGUACGCGAGUCACUGUUCACUACCUUCGGAGGAGCGUACGUGCUUUUAACUAAGUGCGUGCGGGAUUCCGAUAGUUUACUUUGAGAAAAAUAGAGUGUUCAAAGCAGGCGUUUGCCUUGAAUACAUUAGCAUGGGAUAAUGAAAUAGGACGUUGGUUCUAUUUUGAUGGUUUACGGACCGACGUAAUGAUUAAUAGGGACAGUUGGGGACAUUUAUAUUCCAUGGCUAGAGGUGAAA